rnacentral:rRNA from 1 species
UACGUAGGGGGCAAGCGUUGUCCGGAUUUAUUGGGCGUAAAGAGCGUGUAGGCGGUUUGGUAGGUCCGCUGUGAAAACUCGAGGCUCAACCUCGAGACGCCGGUGGAAACCAUCAGACUAGAGUCCGGAAGAGGAGAGUGGAAUUCCUGGUGUAGCGGUGAAAUGCGCAGAUAUCAGGAGGAACACCGGUGGCGAAGGCGGGUCUCUGGGCCGAAACUGACGCUGAGGAGCGAAAGCGUGGGGAGCGAACAGG